GAAAAACCCCAACAUGGCGCCUAAAGACCCUCUUCUUUAUUUUCUUUCACUGGCGCGAAACGUUCCCCCUGUUCAAAUCCUGUGGGUAGGAACCUUAGCCUCAAUAAGAAUUAACUUCUUGGGCUCUGGAACUGACAUAGGGAAGAGCUUGCCAAUAAAUGGGUUACCCGUUAUCUACCUCAGCCCUGCCACUUCUCCUUAGGUCUAUAUAAACCCACAGCCUUUUGUAAUAAAGCAAAACCUCUCCGGUAAUU
rnacentral:lncRNA from 1 species